GACGAACGCUGGCGGCGUGCUUAACACAUGCAAGUCGAACGGAAAGGCCCUGCUUUUGUGGGGUGCUCGAGUGGCGAACGGGUGAGUAACACGUGAGUAACCUGCCCUUGACUUUGGGAUAACUUCAGGAAACUGGGGCUAAUACCGGAUAGGAGCUCCUGCUGCAUGGUGGGGGUUGGAAAGUUUCGGCGGUUGGGGAUGGACUCGCGGCUUAUCAGCUUGUUGGUGGGGUAGUGGCUUACCAAGGCUUUGACGGGUAGCCGGCCUGAGAGGGUGACCGGCCACAUUGGGACUGAGAUACGGCCCAGACUCCUACGGGAGGCAGCAGUGGAGAAUAUUGCACAAUGAGCGGAAGCCUGAUGCAGCAACGCCGCGUGCGGGAUGACGGCCUUCGGGUUGUAAACCGCUUUCGCCUGUGACGAAGCGGGAGUGACGGUAAUGGGUAAAGAAGCACCGGCUAACUACGUG
rnacentral:rRNA from 1 species